AACAACUCUAGUGUGUGUUACACUGUCCUCAUAUUGUGGGUAGCAGAACUGUACAGUGUUAAGUUUCUUUAGAAUCUGGUAUAAGGAAGUCGGAUCCUUCUGUAAUAAUGUUCACUGAUACAAAUAUGAUCUGUAGUUAAUUAUCUAGUCGGGAUUUAUACUAGAGAAUGUUUCUGACGUUAUAUUGUUGUCUUUUGUUGCAGACACCAAGUGCUGAGGUCCUGUCUCAGCCUCAUACAGACCAAUCGACACCAAGUGCUGAGGUCCUGUCUCAGCCUCAUACAGACCAAUUGCUGGGAAGGUGAGAAGCAAGUGGACAAAUGAUGAAGUAAAGGUUGCUGCAAAGUACCAGGUAAAAGGAAUGUGACUGCUGCUUCCAAGCAGAGCCGGCAGCUCGUAAAGGCAGAGACUGGGUUGCCAUAAAGUACUACAUCCACAACAGGAUCAUUGCAUUAAAAGAAAGAUGCAAGGAAAAAAAGAAACAACCAAGAGAGAUACUUUGUUGCUUCCACAGUUAUGUCAAUAUUGUAGUUUUCUGUAUUGCAUUGUUCUUACUCAUAAAUCUGUGGUUUAUGCUGGGUGCUUUUUC
ensembl:lncRNA